rnacentral:hammerhead_ribozyme from 1 species
AUCCAGUUGAGCAGUUUAAAAUAGGACGAAACGCGCGUCAAACCGGAU